rnacentral:snRNA from 1 species
AGAGCCCAGCUUGAAAAUCGGACGUC